GAUGAACGCUGGCGGCGUGCCUAAUACAUGCAAGUCGAGCGAACAGACGAGGAGCUUGCUCCUCUGACGUUAGCGGCGGACGGGUGAGUAACACGUGAUAACCUACCUAUAAGACUGGGAUAACUUCGGGAAACCGGAGCUAAUACCGGAUAAUAUAUUGAACCGCAUGGUUCAAUAGUGAAAGACGGUUUUGCUGUCACUUAUAGAUGGAUCCGCGCCGCAUUAGCUAGUUGGUAAGGUAACGGCUUACCAAGGCAACGAUGCGUAGCCGACCUGAGAGGGUGAUCGGCCACACUGGAACUGAGACACGGUCCAGACACCUACGGGAGGCAGCAGUAGGGAAUCUUCCGCAAUGGGCGAAAGCCUGACGGAGCAACGCCGCGUGAGUGAUGAAGGUCUUCGGAUCGUAAAACUCUGUUAUUAGGGAAGAACAAAUGUGUAAGUAACUAUGCACGUCUUGACGGUACCUAAUCAGAAAGCCACGGCUAACUACGUG
rnacentral:rRNA from 1 species